rnacentral:piRNA from 1 species
UAAGGCCCAUCUGAUGAGAGUUAGG